UACGAAGGGGGCUAGCGUUGUUCGGAUUUACUGGUCGUAAAGCGCACGUAGGCGGAUCGUUAAGUCGGGGGUGAAAUCCUGGAGCUCAACUCCAGAACUGCCUUCGAUACUGGCGAUCUUGAGUCCGGAAGAGGUGAGUGGAACUCCUAGUGUAGAGGUGGAAUUCGUAGAUAUUCGCAAGAACACCAGUGGCGAAGGCGGCUCACUGGCCCGAUACUGACGCUGAUGCACGAAAGCGUGGGGAGCAAACAGG
rnacentral:rRNA from 1 species